ensembl:lncRNA
GGCAACGCUACACUUCCGGCUCAGAGCCGGAAGCCGGGUCGCCCCGGGCAGCGGGGCCGCCUGGGGGCGGGGCCCGCCGACGGCGCGGCGAGACCCGCUUCGGCCCGGGCGUUGUCCGCGCGGGGGGCGCCUGAAGGGCGAGGGGCCGACAGGUUCCCGGGAGGGUGGUCAUCCCUUUAGCCCAAGCUUUUCUCUUUUCAGAGCCGCACCCGCGGCGUAUGGAAGUUCCCAGGCUAGCGAUCCAGUUGGAGCUGUAGCCGCCAGCCUACACCACAGCCACAGCAAGCAGCAACGCUGGAUCCUUAACCCACUGAGCCAGGCCAGGGAGCGAACGUGCGUCCUCAUGGAUGUUACUGGAGUUCGUGAACCGCUGAGCCACAAACUCCUAGGCUGAGCUUUUUUUUUUUUUUUUUUUUUUUGUCUUUUUUGUUGUUGUUGCUAUUUCUUGGGCCGCUCCCGAGGCAUAUGGAGGUUCCCAGGCUAGGGGUUGAAUCGGAGCUGUAGCCACCGGCCUACGCCAGAGCCACAGCAACGUGAGAUCCGAGCCGCGUCUGCAACCUACACCACAGCUCACGGCAACGCCGGAUCGUUAACCCACUGAGCAAGGGCAGGGACCGAACCCGCAGCCUCAUGGUUCCUAGUCGGAUUCGUUAACCACUGCGCCACCACGGGAACUCCGUAGGCUGAGCUUUUUAAGGAGGGUUAGAGUUUGCUCCACGAAGCAGAAAGAAGCAUCACGGAUGGAGGGAAGAGCAUGCGCAAAGGUGGAAAGAGCCAGGGCUAUGGGGCGAUGGGACAAGCUGAGGUGUGGUUUAGGUUAUCACUCCCUCCGGACGUUCAGCCCUUUAAGGAUAUGAUUGGGGUGUGUGUGCAAGAGAAGCUGAAUUGCGGGAGUAAAAUGAUGGGAGGUAUAUCCCUGUGCCCCUUGGGUCUAGGGGUCCUAGUAUCUUACCAACACCACCAUCCCCCUGCUGCCUCCCUGGGCCUGACACCUCCCUGGGCCAACUUGCCCAGUCCUCACCAGGGAAGAACCUUGCUUUGGGGCAGGGUGCAGAGCCCAAGCCCUGACUGCCUCGAGGGGCAGAGCCACAGACCAGGUGGUCAGGGAGGAGCUCAGGGGAGAGAAGGGCCCGGGGUGCAGGAGGACAGUGUUUUGGGACAGCUGCCAAAUCCAUCUUUCACAGACCGCAGCUUUGCACUUGUGCCUGCAAAAAUAACCCAGGGGCUCUGGCCAGGACUGAGCAUCAUCGGUUGCCGGCCCAGCAGGCCUCCCCAGCCCCGGCCUCCACUCCCUCUCCCAGAGCGCCCCUUCCCCACGCAGUCAGACCCCAGCUGCCUGAGAAGCCCUGCGCACCCACACAGAACACACCUGUCCUCCCUCCUGCCCAGAGGGAAGCCAGGUAGUCCUCCCAGGCUCCCGUGGGCAGGGACCAUGGCCCGUGAGGCUGUGCUCUCAAGGCCUGGUCCCAAGAGGUACCCGUAAAUCCCUACAGCUAGAAGGCCUCUCCAUCCACACACACCCACCCAGGGACACUGCCUGAGUGCCCCAGAGGAUCAAGUGGCAGCCUCCCCGGGGACCAGAAGCGGAGCAGGGAGGCAAACACACUUCUUGGAAGCCCUCUCAGGCCAUGCAGGUCCAGCUUUCCCGGGGCCAGUGAAGUGCACAGUGCAUGAUGGGGGCUGGUCAGCACUCAGGACCCACCGUUGACCAGCACCAAGGCCUCCUGGGCCUGAGUCUGCAGCAGCCUGUGGAAAGUCUCCGGGGUCCAUCGUGUCCCCCUUUCGUUUCUGAGGUUUCCAAUAGGAAGCCCUCCCAGACCACCACCCAAGUCCCGCCCGCUGCUUGGCCUUGAACUCUGGGCAGGACCCACCCCUUCCUGGCAGCCUUCUUGGGCAAAUCACUCCCUCAUCUGUUAAAUGGGAGCCUGAGAUCCGGAUGGGCUAGAGUCACCGUGGGUCAUAAGCCCCUCCCAAAGGCUUUUCCUUUCCCCUCUAGGGGGUGGCAAAGGCAGCCCCGGGGGUGAGGAGUAAGGCCUGGGUGGCCGCCUACAGCCCCACUGGAAUCUUCCCUGCCCCUCCCUUCCAGAUUAACCGAAACCUGCUAAUUGUGGCUGCCCUCUGCACGCUCCCCUCCCCCACCGCCGAUUUCCACCUCCCUUGGCCUCCCCUCCCCCUUCC